GGCGGACGUUUGUCGGGGGUAAUUCAAGACACUAUUUAUUUAUGUUGGGUUCGUGUCCUUGGUUGGUUUGGGACCUGGAUGUGUUUUUGCGGUUUUCACUUCGGCGAAAAUUCGCCUCACACACACUCAUGCGUUUUGGCAUCUGUCAAAAUCGGCCAUUGUCAAAAUUAUUGCUGCUUGAGAAAAACCGCGUGCACGUCGUGCUCGUUCCGCGUCCGCAUCCGCCCGGGAAUUAUCUUUUUUUUUGUGUUGCUUGUUCCGAGUGCCGUUACCGUUACCGUGUCCGUGUCCGUGUUCCGUGUUCGGAGUGUCCGUUUAUGUGUUUCGAGUGAAGUGGUGAAGUGUCUAGGAGUGAACUCUCGCGAUAAUUUUGGUGGUCUCGUUCGGGGAAAAAGAGGCGAGGAGGAGGACGGUCCGAACAUCCGGGACGUUGGCCGAGUUCAAGAACAGCUGGAGAAUCCAUCGGAGACGGACGACCACCUCGGGCUGCUGUUGAACCUGCCGGAAGAGGCGAGGAGGAGGACGGUCCGAACUUCCGGGACGUUGGCCGAGUUCAAGAACAGCUGGAGAAUCCAUCGGAGACGGACGACCACCUCGGGCUGCUGCUGAACCUGCCGGGAGAGGCGAGGAGGAGGAGGACGGUCAACACAGCCGGAACCGUGGCCAAGUUCAAGAACUUAUUCUAAAUCCGAUUCCAAGAACAUCUCCUUGGCCCCCUCGAAAAGCUGAACCUGCUGGAAGAGGCGAGGAGGAGGACGGUCCGAACAUCCGGGACGUUGGCCGAGUUCAAGAACAGCUGGAUAAUCCAUCGGAGACGGACAACCACCUCGGGCUGCUGUUGAACCUGCCGGAAGAGGCGAGGAGGAGGACGGUCCGAACUUCCGGGACGUUGGCCGAGUUCAAGAAAAGCUGGAGAGUCCAUCGGCGACGGACGACCACCUCGGGCUGCUGUUGAACCUGCCGGAAGAGGCGAGGAGGAGGACGGUCAACACAGCCGGGACGUUGGCCGAGUUCAAGAGCAGCUGGAAAGUCCAUCGGAGACGGAUGACCACCUCGGGCUGCUGUUGAACCUGCCGGAAGAGGCGAGGAGGAGGACGGUCCGAACUUCCGGGACGUUGGCCGAGUUCAAGAAAAGCUGGAGAGUCCAUCGGCGACGGACGACCACCUCGGGCUGCUGUUGAACCUGCCGGAAGAGGCGAGGAGGAGGACGGUCAACACAGCCGGGACGUUGGCCGAGUUCAAGAGCAGCUGGAAAGUCCAUCGGAGACGGAUGACCACCUCGGGCUGCUGCUGAACCUGCCGGGAGAGGCGAGGAGGAGGAGGACGGUCAACACAGCCGGAACCGUGGCCAAGUUCAAGAACCUAUUCUAAAUCCGAUUCCAAGAACAUCUCCUUGGCCCCCUCGAAAAGCUGAACCUGCUGGAAGAGGCGAGGAGGAGGACGGUCCGAACAUCCGGGACGUUGGCCGAGUUCAAGAACAGCUGGAGAAUCCAUCGGAGACGGACGACCACCUCGGGCUGCUGUUGAACCUGCCGGAAGAGGCGAGGAGGAGGACGGUCCGAACUUCCGGGACGUUGGCCGAGUUCAAGAACAGCUGGAGAAUCCAUCGGAGACGGACGACCACCUCGGGCUGCUGCUGAACCUGCCGGGAGAGGCGAGGAGGAGGAGGACGGUCAACACAGCCGGAACCGUGGCCAAGUUCAAGAACCUAUUCUAAAUCCGAUUCCAAGAACAUCUCCUUGGCCCCCUCGAAAAGCUGAACCUGCUGGAAGAGGCGAGGAGGAGGACGGUCCGAACAUCCGGGACGUUGGCCGAGUUCAAGAACAGCUGGAGAAUCCAUCGGAGACGGACGACCACCUCGGGCUGCUGUUGAACCUGCCGGAAGAGGCGAGGAGGAGGACGGUCCGAACUUCCGGGACGUUGGCCGAGUUCAAGAACAGCUGGAGAAUCCAUCGGAGACGGACGACCACCUCGGGCUGCUGCUGAACCUGCCGGGAGAGGCGAGGAGGAGGAGGACGGUCAACACAGCCGGAACCGUGGCCAAGUUCAAGAACCUAUUCUAAAUCCGAUUCCAAGAACAUCUCCUUGGCCCCCUCGAAAAGCUGAACCUGCUGGAAGAGGCGAGGAGGAGGACGGUCCGAACAUCCGGGACGUUGGCCGAGUUCAAGAACAGCUGGAGAAUCCAUCGGAGACGGACGACCACCUCGGGCUGCUGUUGAACCUGCCGGAAGAGGCGAGGAGGAGGACGGUCCGAACUUCCGGGACGUUGGCCGAGUUCAAGAACAGCUGGAGAAUCCAUCGGAGACGGACGACCACCUCGGGCUGCUGCUGAACCUGCCGGGAGAGGCGAGGAGGAGGAGGACGGUCAACACAGCCGGAACCGUGGCCAAGUUCAAGAACCUAUUCUAAAUCCGAUUCCACCCCAUCCGAGACCACCUCGGGCUGCUGUUGAACCUGCCGGAAGAGGCGAAGAGGAGGACGGUCGACACAUCCGGGACGUUGGCCGAGUUCAAGAAAAGCUGGAGAGUCCAUCGGCGACGGAUGACCACCUCGGGCUGCUGCUGAACCUGCCGGAAGAUGCGAAGAGGAGGACGGUCAACACAGCCGGGACGUUGGACGAGUUCAAGAACAGCUGGAGAAUCCAUCGGAGACGGACGACCAGCUCGGGCUGCUGUUGAACAUGCCGGAAGAGGUGAGGAGGAGGACGGUCUGAACAUCCGGGACGUUGGCCGAGUUCAUGAAAAGCUGGAGAGUCCAUCGGAGACGGAUGACCACCUCGGGCUGCUGCUGAACCUGCCGGAAGAUGCGAAGAGGAGGACGGUCAACACAGCCGGGACGUUGGCCGAGUUCAAGAGCAGCUGGAAAGUCCAUCGGAGACGGAUGACCACCUCGGGCUGCUGCUGAACCUGCCGGGAGAGGCGAGGAGGAGGAGGACGGUCAACACAGCCGGAACCGUGGCCAUGUUCAAGAACCGAUUCUAAAUCCGAUUCCACCCCAUCCGAGACCACCUCGGGCUGCUGUUGAACCUGCCGGAAGAGGCGAAGAGGAGGACGGUCGACACAUCCGGGACGUUGGACGAGUUCAAGAGCAGCUGGAGAGUCGAUCGGAGACGGACGAGCACCUGGGGCUGCUGCUGAACCUGCCGAAAGAGGCGAGGAGAAGGACGGUUUGCACAGCCGGGAUUGACAGACUUGAGACUUUUCCGGAGACGGUUGACCACUUUCGGUUGUGGUUACUGAAUCCGCCGGAAAAAGCAAAUUCAAAGACGGUGCGCUGCUUAUUCAUUAACCCUAUUUUUUACGUGAUAUUUUUACAUUAAUAAACUUUAAUUGUUACGCUGAGUGUA